AGAGUUUAAUCAUGGCUCAGGACGAACGCUGGCGGCGCGCCUAACACAUGCAAGUCGAACGAGCGAGAGAGAGCUUGCUUUCUCGAGCGAGUGGCGAACGGGUGAGUAACGCGUGAGGAACCUGCCUCAAAGAGGGGGACAACAGUUGGAAACGACUGCUAAUACCGCAUAAGCCCACGGGUCGGCAUCGACCAGAGGGAAAAGGAGCAAUCCGCUUUGAGAUGGCCUCGCGUCCGAUUAGCUGG
rnacentral:rRNA from 1 species